rnacentral:snoRNA from 1 species
CUCUGAGUCCCCAAUGUAGCCCCCAUAUGAGCUUGCAGUCUUUUCCUUGUAUGAUCGGCCCCAUUGCUGGUGGCACUGUUGGCCUGGAGUCUGAGAGGAUUAUAAAAACAGGUCAGACGAAGUGUGGCUCAGGACUGGGG